GAUCGCGUAAUGUAUCGAGUGGAACGCCAUCGUGAGCCUGCCGCACGCGGCAACACGGAAGUCUCACAAUAGGCGCCCUGGU
rnacentral:sRNA from 1 species